CAAACCCUAAUACAUCCACCGCUAUGAGUUUCACUCUAGCAGUUACAGGGCAAAAUAUUGUCAGAUUUUGGUUAUGGGUUUUUGGUAUGACAAUCCGCAAGGUUAAACGAGUCGAAUGGUGGUCUUAGUUGCUGAUUUCAAUGGGAUUUUGUGCAGAUAUUUAGGAUUUCAUUCUCCGGUACAUCUCUUCAAAAGAACAGAUCCUUCAUGCAAUCGUUUGACAAGGUUUAGCAGCAGAAAAUAAAUGGAGAACAAAGAAGGACCAAGUAUCCAUAAUAGAUCUAUAAAUUUAUAUGUUUUUAUGAAUUUUAUUAGAUUCAUAUUAUAUUGAAUCCCGUUCAUCUAUUUGUAUUUUUUUUAAUCUUGUAAUGCAUUGAUUCAUAUUGAAUCUCAUCCAGCAAAGAAAAAGGAUGCAAGAAGAUCGUGAUUCUGUAUACUGCAAAAGACUUAAAAGCUGGGAAAACUAAUUGGAAAAAGAAAAGGAUGCAAGAAGAUCGUGAUUCUGUAUACUGUAAAAGACUCAAAAGCUGGGAAAACUAAUUGGAUGAUGCAUCAGUACCAUAUUGAUACUGAGAAGGCUGAAAAGGAAGGCACGUUCGUUGUGUCAAAAGUAUAACCCCACUUCCUUCUCGUCUUCAUCUGUACCAAGAUGAUACUCAUGCAUCACCCAGUUAGUUUUCUCUGUAUAUAAAAGCAUUGAGAGCAUGUGUGCUUCCUGACCAUCGUUGAAGAGGAUGGGUGUUUCCAUUGGAUCAAGAUCAAAUAAGUUGGAUGACAAGAUUUCUGCAAAGAAAGAAGAAGUGGACAGAAAGAAGAAGUGGAGAGAACCUUGGAGUUAUUUCAUCUACAUCUUGAUAAAGGAGGUUAAUUAUAUAUAGAACAAGAAACA